UACGUAGGGUGCGAGCGUUAAUCGGAAUUACUGGGCGUAAAGCGUGCGCAGGCGGUUCGUUAUGUCCGAUGUGAAAGCCCCGAGCUCAACUUGGGAAUGGCAUUGGAAACUGGCGGGCUGGAGUGUGGCAGAGGGGGGGUGGAAUUCCACGUGUAGCAGUGAAAUGCGUAGAGAUGUGGAGGAACACCGAUGGCGAAGGCAGCCCCCCUGGGCCAACACUGACGCUCAGGCACGAAAGCGUGGGGAGCAAACAGG
rnacentral:rRNA from 1 species